rnacentral:rRNA from 1 species
AUUGAACGCUGGCGGAAUGCUUUACACAUGCAAGUCGAACGGCAGCACGGACUUCGGUCUGGUGGCGAGUGGCGAACGGGUGAGUAAUAUAUCGGAACGUGCCCAGUCGUGGGGGAUAACGUAGUGAAAAUUACGCUAAUACCGCAUACGAUCUAAGGAUGAAAGCGGGGGAUCGCAGGACCUCGCGCGAUUGGAGCGGCCGAUAUCAGAUUAGGUAGUUGGUAGGGUAAAGGCCUACCAAGCCAACGAUCUGUAGCUGGUCUGAGAGGACGACCAGCCACACGGGAACUGAGACACGGGCCAGCCUCCUACGGGAGGCAGCAGUGGGGAAUUUUGGACAAUGGGCGAAAGCCUGAUCCAGCCAUUCCGCGUGCAGGAUGAAGGCCCUCGGGUUGUAAACUGCUUUUGUACAGAGCGAAAAGGUCUCUACUAAUACUAGGGGCUCAUGACGGUACUGUAAGAAUAAGCACCGGCUAACUACGUGCCAGCCGCCGCUGUAA